AUCCAGCUGGCGACUCCCAAAUAGGACGAAAUGCGCGUCCUGGAU
rfam:Schistosoma curassoni strain Dakar, Senegal genome assembly, scaffold: SCTD_contig0004037